CAAAACUCCACUAUAAAUGCAGCAGCAGUCCUGGCGUAGUCGUAAGCUGGGCAAUAUCUUCUAUACUUGGAGUUCUUACCACCUGAUUUCUUCACUCCCACACAUUGGUGUUUGCAAUGAGUGCAAUGAAAGACCUGACAGCGACUAACAAAUCAAUUGACAAAGGUUUGUUG